rnacentral:rRNA from 1 species
UACGGAGGGUGCAAGCGUUACCCGGAAAUCACUGGGCGUAAAGGGCGUGUAGGCGGGAACUUAAGUCUGGUUUUAAAAGACGUGGGGCUCAACCCCGGGGAUGGACUGGAUACUGGGUUUCUAGACCUCUGGAGAGAUUACUCGGAAUUUCUGGUGUAGCGGUGGAAUGCGUAGAUACCAGAAGGAACACCGAUGGCGAAGGCAGAGUAUUGGACAGAAGGUGACGCUGAGGCGCGAAAGGUGUGGGGAGCGAACCGG